CAGACUGUAUACUAAUAAUAUACAGUCUCUGGUUGAAUCACAAGUGUGUUUUAAUUUGCACGCAUGCGCUUGGGGAGGGUACCAUUUCGUCAUGGCUGACACGAGCUGGCCAGGCUGUUCGAAGAGUUUGAAAGGUGUCAUAUUGGACUUAUGUGGUGUUUUAUAUGAGAGCGGGGAGGGCGACGGGGUUGCCAUUCCUGGUUCAAUUGAAGCUGUGAAAAAGCUAAAGGCAUCUGACCUGCAGCUGCGCUUCUGCACCAAUGAGACCCAGGCCACCAGAGAGAAGUUUGUAGCCAAGCUCCAAAGACUGGGCUUCGACAUCUCCGUGUCUGAGGUCUUCUCUCCUGCUCCUGCAGCCGUAGCUGUCCUGAAGGAGAGGGGUUUACGGCCUCACCUGCUGGUGUAUGAUGGACUUCUCCCUGAGUUUGACAGCGUUGACAAGACCAACCCAAACUGUGUGGUGAUUGGAGACGCAGCUGAACAAUUUUCCUACGAGAACCUAAACGAGGCAUUCAGUGUCCUUAUAGACCUGGAGAAUCCAAAGCUGUUCUCUCUGGGCCAAGGGAGGUACUACAAGGAGACAGAUGGUUUGAAACUGGAUGUCGGGGUGUACAUGAAGGCUCUGGAGUAUGCCUGUGAUUUAAAGGCUGAAGUAGUUGGAAAGCCAUCCCCAACAUUCUUCCAGAGUGUUCUCAAUGACAUGGGGCUUCAACCGCAUGAGACAAUGGUGCGAACUCAUGCUUGUGUAACAACACACACCUGGUGAGUUAGAGGAUAGCUAUGACGUUUAAAAAAGACACCCGAGGAAACAGUGGGGAGGCUGAAAUGGAUCGGCCAAGUGCUGAUGAUUAGGCACUGAUGAUUGGAGAUGAUCUGGUGAAUGAUGUGGGUGGGGCCCAAAACUGUGGAAUGAAAGGCGUACAAGUCAGGACUGGGAAAUACAGGCCCAGUGACGAGAGGCACUCUACGGUGAUGGCUGACGGCACUGUGGACAAUCUGGCUCAGGCUGUGGACAUGAUCCUCAAUCAGAGGCACUGAGUACAAGGCAGGACACUGGGAACUCGCCACUUACUGUGAUACUGGGUGAUGAAGGCAAUGUUUUCAAAUAAGUGUUCAGUAGGAAGGGUGUACUGCAUUGAGGUAUUUCAAGUAACAUGUUAAAGCAGCACAAAACUAAAAUACCAUCCAAAUAUUGAUACCCUAACUGUCAGAACUCAUUGAACUGUCAAACAUGAUAUAAUACCCAUCUGAUGCUCCACAUAUUAUGAAAUAUUUGCAAAACUAUUACUUAAGUCUACAAGAGAUGAGCUGAACACUUUAGGCUACACUGUGCAUUUGUCAGUACAUGGUUGGCAUAGAUAAGAUACCUCAAUUUGACACAUAGAUAAGAUACCUCAAUUUGACACAAAUGUGCUUGUAACUAGCUGCCAGACAGUUUCUAGUCUUACUGGCUUUGCACAAUUAAAAUGCAGCUGUAGUGUAUUUUAACAUACAUUGAUAAAUGUAGGUAGCCAAUUAUUGUUGUUGCUCACUCCCUUUACACAAAACAUGCACAUCCUUAAUAAACCGACAGGGAGUAGCCAGUAAUGCAAGUGUUAUUAAAAUAAAGCAAUUUUUACUAGCUGUUAAAAAACAUUUGUCUCCCUAAAUUCUCCCUAAAGUCAUGGAACUUUUUUUUUUCUUUUCUUAUUUAAAGGUGUCAAGGUCUCAAAGCACUGGGUAAAACGUAGCCUUGGAUGUAAUAUCUCUAUAUCUAGAUCUAACAAUAUUUAGAUCUAAUAAAUAUAUAUAUAUAUAUAUAUAUAUAGAUAUAUAUAUCUAUAUAUCUAUAUAGAUAUAUAUACUGUGUAUAUAUAUAUAUAUAUAUAUAUAUAUAUAUAUCUAUCCCUGAGCAGCCUUUUGUUUUACAAAAACAAAUUGUUGGAAAUGGGAAGUGAGCUGAUCUCGGAGAAGAUAAAUGCAGAACCCAGCUGAGUGUGAUGAAUUACGCUGGUGCUUGAGCUCAUGUUUCCCCCUCUGUAAACAAAAAUGAAAUGAGCUCUCCAUCAUCGGGCUAAAUAAUCACCAAUCUAUGACUGCUUAUCUUUAUUUACUUGACUGUAAGCCACCUCUGCUGGUAGAUUGUCCCGUCUUUGUUACAUUGUUAAUUGCCGCUCAUUAGACGUCGCACAUUCACUCCUGUGUCGUCAGUGAGGUUAAAUAAAAAAUGAGGGAGGAAAAAAAAAAAAAUUGGUUGUCGGGCUUUUUUGUGCUAGCUGGAUCACACAAAACAAACAAUUCUCAUUUUGCUGCCCCAAAGGUUUCAGGGUACCAAAUAGAUUGAACAAGAACGAAAGCCCAUUGCCAAAUGAUUCAUUGAGGUCUUUCUGGUUCACUUUGCCAUUCACUGACACAAGCUUUAAAUGUUAUUGGGCAAUUAAAGGUAAUGAAAUGCUGCAGUGUGUUAUGAAACUGUCCCUGGGCUGCAUGCACCACUCCUAUAUCUGAUGGGGAAAUAAAUAUUAAUGUGUACUGCUCAGUACUAUCAGCUGGUACCCAGUUUUCUAACUCAUUGUUUGACUCAGUGUUUUGUCCAUUAUGGUACCGCCCAUUGGCUUUGUAUGGAGCUAUGAAACAUGUAUUUGACUACUCUCGAAUGAA